GCGGCAUGCUUUACACAUGCAAGUCGAACGGUAACAGGCCGCAAGGUGCUGACGAGUGGCGAACGGGUGAGUAAUGCGUAGGAAGCUACCCGAUAGAGGGGGAUACCAGUUGGAAACGACUGUUAAUACCGCAUAAUGUCUACGGACCAAAGUGUGGGACCUUCGGGCCACAUGCUAUCGGAUGCGCCUACGUGGGAUUAGCUAGUUGGUGAGGUAAUGGCUCACCAAGGCGACGAUCCCUAGCCGGUUUGAGAGGAUGAUCAGCAACGCUGGAACUGAGACACGGUCCAGACUCCUACGGGAGGCAGCAGUGGGGAAUAUUGGACAAUGGGCGCAAGCCUGAUCCAGCCAUGCCGCGUGUGUGAAGAAGGCCUUCGGGUUGUAAAGCACUUUCAGCGAGGAGGAAGGGUGGUGUGUUAAUAGCACAUCAUUUUGACGUUACUCGCAGAAGAAGCACCGGCUAACUCUGUGCCAGCCGCCGCGGUAACAC
rnacentral:rRNA from 1 species